rnacentral:rRNA from 1 species
GAUGAACGCUGGCGGCGUGCCUAAUACAUGCAAGUCGAGCGAACAGACGAGGAGCUUGCUCCUCUGACGUUAUCGGCGGACGGGUGAGUAACACGUGGAUAACCUACCUAUAAGACUGGGAUAACUUCGGGAAACCGUAUCUAAUACCGGAUAAUAUAUUGAACUGCAUGGUUCAAUAGUUAAAUACGGUUUUUCUGUCACUUAUAGAUUGAUCCGGCCCGCAUUAGCUAGUUGUUAAGGUAACUGCUUAACAAGGCAACGAUGGGUAGCCGACCUGAGAGGGUGAUCGGCCACACGGGCACUGAGAAAGGGUACCGACUCCUACGGGAGGCAGCAGUAGGGAAUCUUCCGCAAUGGGCGAAAGCCUGACGGAGCACAGCCGCGUGAGUGAUGAAGGUCUUCGGAUCGUAAAACUAUGUUAUUAGGGAAGAACAAAUGUGUAAGUAACUAUGCACGUCUUGACGGUACCUAAUCAGAAAGCCACGGCUAACUACGUG